UCAUUUUGCCCAGGCUAGUCGAACUCCUGGGCUCAAGUCAUCUGCCCACCUCUGCCUUCCAAGGUGCUGGGAUUACAGGCAUGAGGCACUGCGCCAGCCUUCAACCAUGUUUUCAUUUCUUUAUUUUUGAGACAUGGUCUCCAUCUGUUGCCCAGGCUAGAGUGCAGUGAUGCAAUCAUGGCUCACUGCAGCCUCUACCUUCUGGGCACAAUUGAUCCUCCUCUAUUCAACUAUUCCUUAAAUUUUUUUUGUUUUUUGGACAGCAUCUUGGUAUGUUGCCCAGGCUAGUUAGAAAGUUAGAACUCGUGGCCACAAGCAAUCCUCCUGCCUCAGCCUCCCAAGUUGCAGGGAUUACAGAUGUGAACCACUAGUGUAGGUGCUGGGUUAAAAUGAUGGCUUUGGCUGGGCACGGUGGCUCAUGCCUGUAAUCCCAGCACGUUGGGAGGCCCAGGUGGGCAGAUCACUUGAGGUCAGGAGUUUGACACCACCCUGGCCAACAUGGCAAAACGCCGUUUCUAUUAAAAAUACAAAAAUUAGCUGGGUGAGGUGGUGUGCGCCUGUAAUCUCAGCUACUUGGGAGGCUAAGGCAGGAGAAUCGCUUAAACUUGUAGGGCAGAGGUUGCACUGA
rnacentral:lncRNA from 1 species